AUACGGCCAGAUCCUGUUGAAACAUUGGUUCCCGUAUGAUCACUGAAGUUAAGCAUUUUAGAGCCUGGUCAGUACCUAGAUGGAUGAUUGCUUAGGAAUACCAGGUACUGUAAG